rnacentral:misc_RNA from 1 species
GUUUCAGUUUCAAGAAUGAUAGAAAGACAAGAAAGAGAGUGAGAGUUUUAAUGGAAAAAAAAGGUUUCAAUCUUUUUGGCGUUAAACAUCAUAAUAAUCAAUACUAUGAGUUACUAGUGAUAGUAAUAGUGUAUUAAAUGGGGAACCACCAUGGCCGUUUCUCUCACAGUAAACAUCAUCAUAAUCAACAAGGUCCCCCAUUUUUUGUACCUACACAACAAACCCAAAAUACCCAGAUGGGUAUAGCUUUGCCUUAUGCUAAUGUUGAUUCCAAUUUGCGUGGUCUUGCUGGUCAAGCUGAGGGUUUUGGUGGUUCUUCCAUUGGUGGUCGUGAUGGUCAUGUUUAUCAAGUUCUUAAUCUUAAUGAUGAUGGGCCAGGAUCACUUCGAGAUGGAUGUCGUAAAAAAGAACCUUUGUGGAUCGUCUUUGAAGUUUCAGGGACUAUUGAGCUCCGUUCUCAUUUGAGUGUGUCCUCUUUCAAAACUAUUGACGGGCGAGGCCAAAAAAUCAAACUCACUGGGAAAGGGUUGAGGUUGAAAGAAUGUGAACAUGUUAUUAUCUGCAAUCUAGAGUUUGAGGGAGGUAGAGGACAUGAUGUUGAUGGCAUUCAGAUUAAACCAAAAUCGAGGCAUAUUUGGAUAGAUCGUUGUAGCCUUAGCGACUAUGACGAUGGUUUAAUUGACAUCACAAAAGAGAGCACAGAUAUUACUGUUUCUAGGUGUCACUUUUCAAAGCAUGACAAAACAAUGCUUAUUGGAGGAGAUUCUUCUAAUUGUGGUGACAGAUGUAUGAGGGUCACCAUUCACCAUUGUUUUUUUGACGGAACUAGACAGCGGCAUCCUCGUGUUAGGUUUGCCAAAGUACAUUUGUACAAUAACUACACUAGGAACUGGGGAAUUUAUGCUGUUUGUGCUAGUGUAGAAUCACAGA